rnacentral:rRNA from 1 species
CAGUAGCCGCGGGAAUACGAAGGGUGCAAGCGUUAAUCGGAAUUACUGGGCGUAAAGCGCGCGUAGGUGGUUUGUUAAGUUGGAGGUGAAAUCCCCGGGCUCAACCUGGGAACUGCCUCCAAAACUGGCUGACUAGAGUACGGUAGAGGGUGGUGGAAUUUCCUGUGUAGCGGUGAAAUGCGUAGAUAUAGGAAGGAACACCAGUGGCGAAGGCGACCACCUGGACUGAUACUGACACUGAGGUGCGAAAGCGUGGGGAGCAAACAGGAUUAGAUACCCCAGUAGUCCCUGUCUCUUAUAC